UACGGGGGGGGCAAGCGUUUGUUCGGAAUUACUGGGCGUAAAGGGCUCGUAGGCGGCCAACUAAGUCCGACGUGAAAUCCCCAGGCUUAACCUGGGAACUGCGUCGGAUACUGGAUGGCUUGAAUUCGGGAGAGGGAUGCAGAAUUCCACGUGUAGCAGUGAAAUGCGUAGAGAUAGUGGAGGAACACCGAUGGCGAAGGCAGCCCCCUGGGUCAAGAUUGACGCUCAUGCACGAAAGCGUG
rnacentral:rRNA from 1 species